rnacentral:rRNA from 1 species
AGAGUUUGAUCCUGGCUCAGGAUGAACGCUAGCGGCAGGCCUAAUACAUGCAAGACGAACGGUAAGUUGAGUAGCAAUACUUGACCAAGAGUGUCGUAAGGGUGCGUAACACGUAUGCAAUCUGCCCUCAACAGGAGGAUAGCUCCCCGAAAGGGGAAUUAAUACUGCGUAAGAUUGUAGUUCGGCAUCGGACAGCAAUUAAAACCGAGGUGGUUGAGGAUGAGCAUGCGCAUGAUUAGUUAGUUGGCGGGGUAACGGCCCACCAAGACGAUGAUCAUUAGGGGAACUGAGAGGUUGAUCCCCCACACUGGCACUGAGAUACGGGCCAGACUCCUACGGGAGGCAGCAGUAGGGAAUAUUGGACAAUGGGUGCGAGCCUGAUCCAGCCAUGCCGCGUGCAGGAAGACGGCCUUCUGGGUUGUAAAACUGCUUUUGCCAGGGGAUAAAAAAGUCCCUGCGGGGAAAAAUUGAAGGUACCUGGUGAAUAAGCCACGGCUAACUACGUGCC